rnacentral:rRNA from 1 species
UACAGAGGUCCCAAGCGUUGUUCGGAUUCACUGGGCGUAAAGGGUGCGUAGGCGGUCGGGUAAGUCUGAUGUGAAGUCUCACAGCUUAACUGUGAAACUGCAUUGGAUACUAUCCGGCUCGAGGAAUGGAGGGGAGACUGGAAUACUUGGUGUAGCAGUGAAAUGCGUAGAUAUCAAGUGGAACACCAGUGGCGAAGGCGAGUCUCUGGACAUUUCCUGACGCUGAGGCACGAAAGCCAGGGGAGCAAACGGG